AUCUGGCUCAGAUUGAACGCUGGCGGCAGGCCUAACACAUGCAAGUCGAGCGCGAAAGUUCUUCGGAACGAGUAGAGCGGCGGACGGGUGAGUAACGCGUGGGAAAUUGCCCAGUAGUGGGGGACAACAUUCGGAAACGGAUGCUAAUACCGCAUACGCCCUACGGGGGAAAGCAGGGGAUCUUCGGACCUUGCGCUACUGGAUAUGCCCGCGUCGGAUUAGCUAGUUGGUGAGGUAAUGGCUCACCAAGGCGACGAUCCGUAGCUGGUCUGAGAGGAUGAUCAGCCACACUGGGACUGAGACACGGCCCAGACUCCUACGGGAGGCAGCAGUGGGGAAUAUUGGACAAUGGGCGCAAGCCUGAUCCAGCCAUGCCGCGUGUGUGAAGAAGGCCCUAGGGUUGUAAAGCACUUUCAGCAGGGAGGAAGGCCUUAAAGUUAAUACCUUUGAGGAUUGACGUUACCUGCAGAAGAAGCACCGGCUAA
rnacentral:rRNA from 1 species